UAAUAUUGAAGGAGAUUUUAAUAAUUGAAGAGAAGCACUCCGGGUAGAAUAAAAUUUACAUGAUUACUCCGGUUGAAAGGAAAAAUAAGACAACUUGAUUGAGAAAAAUAAUUAAUUAGCACCCCCAUAGAAAUAUGAGAACACCCCUUAGGAAAGAUAUGAAAUGACCACUUGACAUCAAAGCAACUCGAAUUACUAUAUUCCAACAAAAAAAGGAUGCG
rnacentral:lncRNA from 1 species